CACCAUGCACAAGAAAACAAAACGGACAUUCUCUCCCGAGUUCAAACUGGAAUGCGCUCUGCUCGUUGUCGAUAAAGGGUAUUCGUACCGUCAGGCCUGCGAAGCGAUGAACAUCGGCUCCUC
rnacentral:sRNA from 1 species